UACGAGGGGAGCAAGCGUUGUUCGGAUUUACUGGGCGUAAAGGGCGCGUAGGCGGUCGUGACAAGUCACUUGUGAAAUCUCCGGGCUUAACUCGGAACGGUCAAGUGAUACUGUCGGACUAGAGUACAGAAGGGGCAACUGGAAUUCUCGGUGUAGCGGUGAAAUGUGUAGAUAUCGAGAGGAACACCUGCGGCGAAGGCGGGUUGCUGGGCUGACACUGACGCUGAGGCGCGAAAGCUAGGGGAGCGAACGGG
rnacentral:rRNA from 1 species